ACUCCUACGGGAGGCAGCAGUAGGGAAUCUUCCACAAUGGACGCAAGUCUGAUGGAGCAACGCCGCGUGAGUGAAGAAGGCUUUCGGGUCGUAAAACUCUGUUGUUGGAGAAGAAUGGUCGGCAGAGUAACUGUUGUCGGCGUGACGGUAUCCAACCAGAAAGCCACGGCUAACUACGUGCCAGCAGCCGCGGUAAUACGUAGGUGGCAAGCGUUAUCCGGAUUUAUUGGGCGUAAAGCGAGCGCAGGCGGUUUUUAAGUCUGAUGUGAAAGCCCUCGGCUUAACCGAGGAAGCGCAUCGGAAACUGGGAAACUUGAGUGCAGAAGAGGACAGUGGAACUCCAUGUGUAGCGGUGAAAUGCGUAGAUAUAUGGAAGAACACCAGUGGCGAAGGCGGCUGUCUGGUCUGUAACUGACGCUGAGACUCGAAAGCAUGGGUAGCGAACAGGAUUAGAUACCCUGGUAGCUACGAG
rnacentral:rRNA from 1 species